GACGAACGCUGGCGGCGUGCUUAACACAUGCAAGUCGAACGGACAGGCGCUGCUUUUGUUGGGUGCUCGAGUGGCGAACGGGUGAGUGACACGUGAGUAACCUGCCCUUGACUUUGGGAUAACUUCAGGAAACUGCGGCUAAUACCGGAUAGGAGCUCCUGAUGCAUGGUGGGGGUUGGAAAGUUUCGGCGGUUGGGGAUGGACUCGCGGCUUAUCAGCUUGUUGGUGGGGUAGUGGCUUACCAAGGCUUUGACGGGUAGCCGGCCUGAGAGGGUGACCGGCCACAUUGGGACUGAGAUACGGCGCAGACUCCUACGGGAGGCAGAAGUGGGGAAUAUUGCACAAUGGGCGGAAGCCUGAUGCAGCAACGCCGCGUGCGGGAUGACGGCCUUCGGGUUGUAAACCGCUUUCGCCUGUGACGAAGCGUGAGUGACGGUAAUGGGUAAAGAAGCACCGGCUAACUACGUG
rnacentral:rRNA from 1 species